CCCAGUCCACACUGUCAGCUGCUGUAGCCAUGAGGACUGCACGGAAGGGGAGCAUGGAGAUGCCUGCAUUUGUCCGGCAGCUGGUGAAGGAGACAGAGAAGAGGGUCAGCUCCUUCUUCAAAGGAGGGGGGCAUGGAGGGGCAGAGCACACAGACGGGGAAAGAGAGGAGGUGAUCCCCAGCCCCUACCUGGACCGUCCCAUCCUGGACAAGUUGACUGAGGAGGGUUGCUCCUGCUGGGGCCUGACCUACGCUCUGUGCAGCAUGCAGGGCUGGAGGGCAAACAUGGAGGACUACCACAACUGUGUGCCUCAGCUGGGCACAGGGCUGGCAGACUGGAGCUUCUUUGCUGUGUUUGACGGGCACGCGGGAAACAAAGUGGCACAGUACGUUUCACAACACCUGCUGGAUCAGGUCCUAGCUACAGGAGGGAUCGGGCCAGAGGACCACCCUGAUCGGGUGAGAGGGAGCUUCACAGAUGGCUUCCUACACACAGACAAACACCUGCUGACUGCAGCCCGCCGUGAGGGCUGGGAGCGGGGUGGCACCACCGUGACCUCCACACUCAUCUCACCACGAUACAUCUACUUCGCCAACUGUGGAGACUCGCGUGCCAUGCUGUGCCAGGCAGGGCAGGUGUGCUUCUCCACUGAGGACCACAAGCCCUACAGCCCUCUGGAGAGGGAGCGUAUCGAGAGCGCCGGCGGCUCCGUGUCCCUGCAGCGCAUCAACGGCUCCUUGGCCGUGUCCCGAGCCCUGGGGGACUUCAGCUACAAGGGGACAGUGAACCGGCCACCCACCCAACAGAUGGUGUCUCCGGAGCCAGAGGUGUGUGUGGUGGAGCGGUCGCCCGGGGAUGAGUUUCUGGUGCUGGCCUGUGAUGGGGUGUGGGACACGGUCUCCAACGAGGAGCUAUGUGCCUUCAUCCAGAGUCGGCUGCGCGUCUGCACUGACCUCAGAGAUGUCUGUUCCCAGGUCAUUGACCUCUGCCUCUACAAGGGCAGUCUGGACAAUAUCAGUAUCAUCUUGGUCUGCUUCCCUGGCGCCCCCCAGCUCUCAGCAGAAGCAAUACACCAGGAGGCAGAGCUGGAAGACCUGCUGGAGUCCAAAGUGGCAGAGAUUUAUGAGGAACUGAGUACUCAGGGGAAGGAGCCUGACCUGUUCUCUGUCCUUACUGUUCUGGCAAACAUUGAUGUCCCAGGCUUACCACCUGGAGGCGGUCUGCAGAGCAAAAGGAACUGUAUCAUCUCCGCCUAUUACGAAAAGAAAGAGGCACACAAUCCUACUACACCUAAUAAACACGCACCUAAAAUAUGGAGUCCGCAGGUGCACCCAGUCCUCCAUUACCUGUGGAGGAGCUCGUCCAGCAGUACGCGACGAUGCUACAAAAUCUUGGCACAGCCAUGGAUUGCGUGCUGCACACCAUAGAGCGAUGGGAGAGAGAGGGUUUUCCCACACCUCCAUCAACUUCACCCCAACCCACACCACGCUCCACCCCUCCGUCACCUGGGCCCAGUGGGAUUCGGCUCUCGCUUCCGAGGGCAUAUGAUGGGACGGCUGCCGGGUGCCAGGGGUUCCUGCUCCAGUUGGAGCUCUACCUGGCGACUGUCCACCCGAGAGCGUGUCCACCCUCAUCUCCUGUUGGUCAGUUGAGAGCACUUGAGUGGGCCAACGCCGUAUGGGGGAGAGAAGGCGCAGCGUUGGUCCACUAUGAGGAUUUCACCCGCUGCUUCCGGGCGGUUUUCGAUCAUCCACCUGAGGGAAGAGCGACGGGGGAACAUUUGUUCCAUCUUAGACAGGGGAUGAGGAGCGCACAGGACUUUGCACUGGACUUCAGGACCCUGGCAGCCAGCGCGGGAUGGAAUGCAAGGGCCCUAAUCGACCAUUACCGGUGCAGUCUACGGGAGGACGUUCGUCGGGAGCUGGCAUGCAGGGACACCACCUUUACCCUCGACCAGCUGGUGGAUUUAUCCAUCCGGCUGGAUAACCUAUUGGCCAUCCGCGGACGACCGGAUCGGGGCCCGUCCAUUUCAUCCCCCAGCACCUCCGAUUCCUACACCUAUGAAGCUCGGAGGUGCUGCUCUGAGGGUGACCAGAGGGGGGGCCAUUUCAGGCACCACAUUUGGCCGCAGAGGGCACACUGCUGGUCGGUGCUGGGGAGGUUCCCCAGUGAGUCGAGAGAGCAGGCAGGGCACUGGUGGAUCAUCCCAGGGUACCGCCUUUCCACGUCAGGGGUGGAGAUGGAAAGUGACCGCUUUGCCAAGACCGGCCGGGGAAGUGGGCGGCUUUCAUCCCCUGGGCAGAGAUGGCCCAAACUCCCUCCGCCACUCCUCCACUAACCUAUCUCCUUUUCAGUGUGUACUGAGGAACCUGCGGUAGAUGAAUGGUUUCAGCGCUCGGAGGAGACAUGGGACGCUGCCCAUGUCCACCUGCAACGGGCCAUCAGGCGGCAGAAGCCGAGCGCCGACCGCCACCGCAGUGAGGCCCCUGUGCACCAGGUCUGGCUCUCGACCCGAAACCUGCCCCUUCGCCUGCCCUGCUGGAAACUGGGUCUGCGAUUUGUGGGGCCAUUUAAAGUCCUGAGGAGACUGAACAAGGUUUGUUAUAGGUUACAGCUUCCCCUGAUUACCGUAUUAACCCCUCGUUCCAUGUGUCUCUCCUCAGGCCGGUGGUGUCGAGGGGGCCCGGCGUAUACUGUUCGAGCCAUCAUGGACUCAAGGCGUCGGGCGAGGGGCCUUCAGUACCUCGUGGAGUGGGAGGGGUACUAUCCAGAGGAGAGAUGCUGGGUGCCGGUGGAGGACAUCCUGGACCCUUCGUUACUGCGGGAAUUUCACCGUCUCCACCCGGAUCGUCCUGCGCCUCGUCCUCCGGGUCGUCCCCCGAGGCCGGUGUCGGGGGGGGGGGGUACUGUCACGGAGUUGAUGCUUCUCCUUGUUCGGGCGCCGUUCCGCGGUCAAUGUCACCGGUUUUCUAGCCUCCACCGAUCUACGUUUCAUUGUCCAUUUGUUUUGUCUUUAUUGUACACACCUGGUUUCCAUUACAUUAUUAUUUAUUCCCUAUUUAACCCUCUGGUUCCCACAUGGUUUUGUGCGUGUUUGUUCUGUGUUUAGCAGUCGCUACCAUUUUGUGAGCUGGAUUGUUUUCCCUUGCUGUCUUCUUGAGUAAAAGUGCGUUAUUACUCAU